UACGUAGGGGGCAAGCGUUAUCCGGAUUUACUGGGUGUAAAGGGAGCGUAGACGGCAGCGCAAGUCUGGAGUGAAAUCCCAUGGCUUAACCAUAGAACUGCAUUUGAAACUGUUAUUCUAGAGUAUGGGAGAGGUAGGUGGAAUUCUUGGUGUAGGGGUAAAAUCCGUAGAGAUCAAGAGGAAUACUCAUUGCGAAGGCGACCUGCUAGAACAUAACUGACGCUGAUGCGCGAAAGCGUGGGGAGCAAACAGG
rnacentral:rRNA from 1 species